GUAUUUGCUUCACCAGCACAUAUAUUAAAAUUGGAACAAUACAGAGAAGAUUAGAAUAGCCUCUGCACAAGGAGGACAUGCAAAUUCUUGAAGUGUUCCAUAUUUUU
rnacentral:snRNA from 1 species